CGCCGCAUUGGAGAAAAAAUGAAGGCCCUCCCUUGCUUUGAUCUUCUCCUGGAUUUUCUCCUAUCUCAACAUCAGAUCUUAGACCUUAGCAAAUAGAGAGAAUAGCGUUCCUCUCUUUGGAAAAGGAAAUCAGAUCCAUUUGACCUCUAGAACAGAAGAGGGAACGAAAUCAGAUCCAUUCAAAGCUGAGAUUUAGAAAGUCACAAAGAGGAAGUAGGAUUUCAAAGCUUGCUCGCGAUUUCUGUCGCUUCUGUUUCAUGAUUUCUGAUUUCUUGAGUUGGUUUUGACUGGGGAUUGAUGUUGCUUCUGUUAACUCUGCUGCUGAUUUCCGACUCAUCGAUUUGGUUUCUAUUUGGCUUUUUUGCUCGGACUUAGUUCUAGAGAAAUUAGGUAUGUUCUGCUACCUCUGUUUUUGAUGUUUAAAUCUUAAAUAAAAUUCAGCUUGUUCAUAUGUUGAUUCUGCCCCAUUUCCCAGAUUUAUUAUUCGAGAUUUGCCUAUGUUUCAUCUGUUUUCACUCCUACGAUGAAUUGAUAGCUAGUUGGAGCAUUUGUCUUUAUUCUCCUUUGUAGUAUCUUUUAUUUAUUGUUGGAAACACGAUGUUGAGAUCUUGAGUACAAAUCAGUAACUUCGAUUGCUAAACUUGAUGAACUUGUUGAUAUAAUGGCUACAAAUAUAUUUGGGUAAAAGGCUUGAUGAAUGGACAUGCUUUUCUACAGCUUUAUUUUUUCUUGUUGCUUUUCUCAUAUAAAAAAAGGAAGGAUGUGAGGUUUGUGAUUUGGUUUCACGUAGGAGAGUAUCAAUGAAUUGAAUUCAUGGAUUGAUAUUGGGCUUUAUUUGUCUUGUAGUUAAAGGACUUGGUGAAAGUUUAGUUCUGGAAAUUGUGAAAUACCUUUGUGAUUGUGACGGGUUGUGGUGAGUUUUGAUUUGAUCAAUCUGUAGAAAAGGAGUAAAGAAAUGUAGCUUGAUGGUAAAUUGUAUAUGUUGGAGUAUUUCCUUAUAGCUGCUGCCUUUAUCUUUCGAUAAGUCUCUGUUGUGAAUUUGGCAAAUUGUCUUACAAGUUUAUUCAUCCUUGUGAAUAGUUCCUUUUGAAAAAAAAAAGAAAUUACAUCAAAAAUUACUACAGACUUAUCCUUGGGCAGAAUGUAUAAUUUAGGUCUGCAUUGAUUGUGCUUUUAUGAAUGAGAGGCGUUUCAACAAAGUAUUACCUCAUGAGUAGGCAAUAUUAAUGAUAGUUGGAUAAUUCAGGACAUAUUGAUAGAUGAUUAUAGUUGACUCAUCAAUGUUGAGGGAUAAAUUCGCCCAGUUUGUGAUCAAGUCAAGCUAGCUGAAUUCACUGGAACAUGAUUUGGUAAAAAGGAACUACAAUUAUCAACAUCCCUAGUUUUCUCUAGUUUAGGACAAUCAUCUAAGAAUAAUUAGAGGUUUGCCACGCCAAACAAAAAUCACAAAUUUGUGUGGCCCUCUUUAGUUACUUCAUUAAAAAAUACUUAGAAAUCGGGACAUGCCAUUUAGCGAAUUUUCAUGGCCUCCCACAAAGUUAUCAACACGUUAGUUGCUUUGGGUGCGUAUUUUGAUAAUCUAUCUUCCUAAAUUCGGGUGGACAUCUAUGUGACCCAAAUCCAAAUCUCAAUGGCGUUAAAAUAUGUCAAAAACCAUGGGUGCAUUUAUGUGACGUGGUUCAAGACGUGUUUUAAAAACGUUGCAAAAUUAUUUAAAAAAUUUAAUUUAAAGCGGUAAAUAAUUUAAAAUUGUACUAUAUGUGGAAACAUGUAUUAAAAUCAGGUAAUAGGCUAAUUAUGAUAGUUUAAGCGACCGUUUUAGAACCACGGAAUCCGGGGGUGCCUAACACCUUCCCCGGGUUAAUAGAAUUCCUUAUUCAGAAUUUCUGGUUCGCAGACUUCAAAAGAAAAGUCGAAAUUUCCUCGAUUUGGGAUUUUAAAAUAAACCAUCUUCCUAAAUUCGGGUGGACAUCUAUGUGACCCAAAUCCAAAUCUCAAUGGCGUUAAAAUAUGUCAAAAACCAUGGGUGCAUUUAUGUGACGUGGUUCAAGACGUGUUUUAAAAACGUUGCAAAAUUAUUUAAAAAAUUUAAUUUAAAGCGGUAAAUAAUUUAAAAUUGUACUAUAUGUGGAAACAUGUAUUAAAAUCAGGUAAUAGGCUAAUUAUGAUAGUUUAAGCGACCGUUUUAGAACCACGGAAUCCGGGGGUGCCUAACACCUUCCCCGGGUUAAUAGAAUUCCUUAUUCAGAAUUUCUGGUUCGCAGACUUCAAAAGAAAAGUCAAAUUUUCCUCGAUUUGGGAUUUAUAAUAAAUCGGUGACUUGGUACACCAAAUAAACUAUCCCAAGUGGCGACUCUGAAAAAAUCAAAUAAAUAAUCUCAUUUUUAAUAAUGUCACUUUAAUCAGAAAAACUCUCUUAUAUACGUUUAUCCUUCGGGGUAGCCGUGUAAAAAGGAGGUGUGACAGUAAGUAAAUAAGGCAGAGGAUUUUUACAUGGAAAAAUCAUAUAUGAAGGGAUCAAAAAACCAUGACCUACACCCGUAUGCUUUCAACUUCACUAACUUGUAAAAACCUAUUACAAGCCAUUUUGUAAUGACUCCAUUACAGAGAAUUUACUCAACUAAUUUGUGGUACUCUUACCACAAGCCAUUUUGUAACUCCCUAGUUACAAAGAUUUUUAAUAACUUGUGAUGCUCUUACCAUAAGUCACUUUAUCACUCUACAGUUACAAAGGCUUUUGCUUAUGACUAAACCUAGUCACAACAUAAACUCAGGGAGUUUACGGAUUUACAAGAGGAUUUCUAAUAAACGCUUCUAGCUAAGCAAUUUAGGAGAUAUAAUAAGUACAAUCACAAAGUUACAACUCAACAAGGACAACAACAUGCUAACUUUAGGAACUGGUCCGUAGUUGUGUUCAACUUUGUUCAAGCUCGUGAGGUUGAUUUUUCUGCUUUUGCAAGAAGCUUGAAUGAGAAACUGAAACAUUCAAGUGAUGUUUCAAUAUAAACUCAUGUUGGUACACCUUGAUUAUAUCACUUGACAUGAUGUGAGCACUUUAGUUGGUUAGGAAUGAGUACGUGCUGGAAAUAGUCCAGUGCGGCAGAAAUAGUGCAGACAGUCGCUUCAUUUCCAGCUAUGUCCAACUGACUUUGUACUACUAUGUGGGAACCACAAGGAUAGCAGGUCCUUGUUUAGUUUCCUAGCUCCUAAAGUUCUAGCAAUUCACAUUUAGCUGGAAUUGGUUAAAUGCAAUGUAAUCCAAGUGAGUCAGGUUCCCUAUCUGGUUCUUGACAUUAAGUUUGUUUGAUCAUCAAAACACAAGGCAAAGAUAUUGAAAACCUAUCAAUUUUUCCCUUUUUGGUGAUGACAAACUUAGCAUUGAAAACAAGAAUUUAGAGCUCAGAGAACUAGAUGUAGUAACAUGAGACCACAAGUUCCCCCUGACUCUAUGCCCUUUCGGUACACACAGGAGAACACAAUUUGUACACAAGUUUCCCCUGACUCUAUGGUCAUAUUAUACUAUUAUUUUUCCCAUUUUCGCAUCAUUAAAAAAAUACAAAUAGAAGAACAUCACAAAGAAGUCCAGCCAAGCUAACUCAUGCCACAUAUGUGCACACAAACGUGAUAGAGAAUAGAAACACAAAAGCAAAACACAAAUAUAUAAAAGAGGAUAGAAGUUAUAUUGAUAAAACUUUAAUAUGCUUUGUUUAAAAACAAGAGGCAAUAUUGGGCUGUUAAAAUGAGAGCAGUGGUGUUUCAUCCCAACCACAUAAAAAAAAGAAAACAAAACAUCUGCCACGACACUAAAAAACUGAAGAACAUUUCCAGAAUCUGGUCACUAAAAGGGUACUUAGGGGGCACUAGGAGUAAAGAGCUUGGAAGCUGCAACAAGUUUUUGGAGAACAAGAUCUAUUCGGGCAUUGACCGACUUUUGCUCAUUGAGGAGUUCUGCUUUCAAGUUCUCUAUUUGCGCCCCGGGAUCAGCAUUCUCAUUUGUCAAACAAGCUACUUCAUCAUUUGACACCGGAAUCCAUUGGGCUUGCUGACCUUCCAGGAUAGCAUUCCCGGCCUUCAACUGAUGAAUUUCCUCAGUCUCGUACUGUUCUGAGCAUUAAUAAGUUGUGAGACAGUUGAUGUACUUCCUAUCUCCCCGCCCCCCAAUUCUUUUCUAUGCACUCGCAUUCUUUUAGAGUUGUCUGUGAGAAAGUCUGUUUCUUAGUUCCCACCUUGCCUGGCCCUAGUGACACUUCAAAGAAUUUAAACACUCGCGUAAACAAGAACCAAUAGGGAAGGCCAUGAUUACCAUCUUUGAAGGUGGCAAUCUUUUGCAUGUGUUCAAUCAUAAUAGCAGGAAGAGUCACAGGAGUAAAACUAGCCAGUUGCUCCAUCAAGAAUAGGUCAGACUUAGAAGUCACUGACCUUCUCUGAGCUCGAGUCAAUAGAACUUUGUUAACUAAUUUGAACAACAGCUGAUAGACAGGGAGUAGUUCUUUCUUAUGGAUUUGGCGCCGUUUCUGGUUUGCAUUGUCUUUUACCAUGGCAUUUCUGAUGUUAAACUGACACAUUCUUUACAUUGGACACACCUGCCGUAGGAACUUUAAGAAUCACUCCAAGUAACUUUAUAUCGAACACAAUGUCCACUCCAUUCAUCAAAUCACAGAUGUGGUUUGUCUCAAUCAGAACGAGGCUAGCAAAGAAGCUUUGCACCUCAUCCUCAUAUACCUUAGGCGCAUCUAUUUGGAAUAAAUGCACCCAGUGUUGAAACUCAACAAUUUUCAGAAUUUGGCGCAUACCAGCUAACUCAGAGAUUACUAGGUCGAACGUAUGACCCAUCAGAACUUUUUUGAUGCCUCAGGUGUUCAUAGCCAAGACUGACUUCACUUCUCAUUCUCUUCACUGAACCAGGUUGCUCAACAAUUUUAGACUUGUGUUUGUCGGACUUCUCUCCACUUAAUUUUCCUUUUCCCUUGGAUUUGACUCACGCAUCAUCAUCAGGCAUCGAGAAAUCACUCCCCACCUCCUUCAACUUGGACCUAGAGGUUGACCUCUUCUCUAUUGAAGCAUGUUUCUUCUUUUUCGGAGACCGUCUAACUAGUGAACCAGGUUCAUCUGGAGUUUCAUCUUCUACCGCUACUGCAGGGAUCAACUUAUCGCUUACCGGAACUUAGCUUGAGGCCUGGUAGGUCGUUUGGUUUCAGACUCAAGAGUGGACACAACCCUUCGCUUAGCUAUGAAUGCAUCAAGAUCCACGUUAUCUAGGUCCUCCUCAUCAUUGGAUCUUAUUUCAGGUACUUGUAUUUCCAAGGGCACAAUACCGAAUGUAGGAACAUAACUGUCCUAGGAAUGAGAGCCCUGACCUGGGUCCUCCGGAGAGGGAACAUGUUCCUCAUGUGAGGGCCCAAUAGUAUCUUCUAGUGCAUCGUCUUUAGCAGUUGCAGUGGCCCCUUCGUCCCCUAUACCUUGUACCUUACUUUUUUGAGAGAUGAUCUCAUGCAGUACACCAUCAGCAGACACCACAAAGACGGUUAGAACAUUCUCUUUCUUAAUUGGUACUACUGCCACAACAUAAACUCAAGGAGUUUACAGAUUUACAAGAGGAUUCCUAAUCAACGCUUCUGGCUAAGAAAUUUAGGAGAUACAAUAAGUACAAUCACAAAGUUACAACUCAAAUAGGACAACAACAUGCUACCUUUAGGAAUUGGUCCGUAGUUGCGUUUAACUUUGUUCUUCAAGCUCGUGAGGAUUGAUUUCUCUGUUUUUACAAGAAGCUUGAAUGAGAAACUGAAACAUUCAAGUGAUGGUUUCAAUGUAAACUCAUGUUGGCACACCUUGAAUACAUUGCUUGAAAUGAUGUGAGCACUUUAGUUGGUCAAGAAUAAGUGGGUGAUGGAAACAAUGCAGUGCGGCAGAAGCAGUGCAUGCAGUCACUUCAUUUCCAGCUGUGUCCAACUGACAUUGUACUGCUAUGAGGGAACCACAAGGGUAGCAGAUCCUUGUUUAGUUUGCUAGCUCCUGAAGUUGCAGCAGUUCACAUUUGGCUGGAAUCCGUUAAAUGUAGUGUAAUCCAACUGAGUCAGGUUCCUAUCUAGUUCUUGAUAUUAAGUUUGUUUGAUCAUCAAAACACAAGGCAAAGAUAUUGAAAACCUCUCACAUUGUAGAUAUGCUCACGGAAGAAGAUACUAACAAUAUGAAGAUAAAAAAAGUGAUAGACAGAGCCUCCCUCGUAAUUAAAUAAACUAGAGCUACUGUCAAGCAUUGAUUUAGAGAAGGGAAUCAAGUAGCGGAUUGUCUUGCUAAAUUGGCUACCACUACAAAUUAGAGAAAGGUGUAUCAGUCGCUCCAAGUAUUGCCUAGCAGUGCAAAAGGAUGUUUUCUCCUUGAUAAUAGUAUAAGAACAAAGUAUAAAAAACCUAAUUUCUUUGUCAGUUAAUUGUUUUCAUAGAUCUUAGAAAGAAGGAUAUAUAUAUGAACCUCUUGUCCUUCUUUUGGGGUGAUUCAUCACCAUUGUUGUAUUUUUUGAGGUCAGAUCUACCCCUCCCCCCUCCCCCUUCACGUCUUGUGCUUUUUUAAAUACAACACAACCUAGACGGCUGUCUGGGAAAACCCAUGGAACGUAUAAUAUGCUUUGGGCCUAGGCACACACGAAUUUGUCUUUCUAGGCUAUACCACAUCGAGCGCAAAAGCGAGCGUACUAUGUGAGUUUGUGUUAUGCCUUACAAAGUCCUUCAUUUUCCUCUCAUAUUCCGAUGUGGGAUUCCCUUAAGGUGACAUGUGCACCCCUUAUUCAAAAGCUUGUCAGCCUAGAAACCUACCCUUAUCAGUCAUGCUUAACCCACCCCCAUCAGCCUACCUUCUGUCACGGGCAUCACAAAUUCACUUUUAAUUUAUUCAAACAUUUUUUUGAUAGGCUAUAUGUAAUUCUAUUAUAAGUACUUUACUUUAUGUUUUGAUUAUCUAACAAACCUACUAUCUUGAACCAGAUAAGGAACCUGUUACACAUUCACAAGAACUCAAGUUCACAAGACUCCAGGUUGGGACGCAGCGUGAAAUAUGAUUCAACUCCUCAGAGGGGAAGGAACAGCUGAGAGACUAUGUCCUUAUCAGUUCCCGAGGAGAUUGUACGAAGUUAACUCUGCAGUUAGAAAGUUGCUGCAUGCACACGCCACUGUGCAUAAUAGUGAUGCAGUCAACUUUCCAAAGCAUAAUUCUUACCUAUCUUGAUUGCAUCAUUCUUGAUGAGGUCACACAUGUAUAUAUACAUUCAAGGGAGGUAAAAAAACUUACUUGAACACUUAGAGAUUUUGGCAAAAAGCUCUCUGUUAGUUUGUAUGAUUCUAUCAAACUGUACGGUAUCUGGUCCUAUAUGAGAUAAUGUUGAGAAUACCAUAGAAAUUGCAAGUAAAGAAGACGGGGGAUUUUUACGUGGAAAAUCACACACAAGGGGAUAAAAAACCGGGAUAAAAAAACCAAGGUCUACUCUUAUAGGCUUUUAACUUCACUAACUUGCAAUCUCUCUAUUACAAGCCACUUUGCAAUAACCGUAUUACAAAGACUUUAACUAACUUGUGAUGCUCUCACCACAAGCCACUUAUUACUCUCCAAGUUACAAAGGCUAUAAACUUAUAACUAUUCCUAGUCACAACAUAAACUCGGAUGUUUAUGGAUUUUUGGUUUUUUCCUAAGACAAAGAUUCUAGGAAAGCAAAAUAGGAAGUACAAUCAAGAACAAAUAACAAGAGUACAACUCAACUACGGAUGUACAUGAACUCAUUUUGAAAUUGAUCCUUAGUGGAGUUGUCUUCUUGUUCUUGACACAUCAGUGAUUUCAAUGCCGGAUAAACAUUGUUAUGCUUGAGAAAAUAUCAUCGAAUGCACACCGAUGUUGUGCCUUGCACCCAUUUGUUAUAUCAAUAAAGAUAUUACAAUAGAUAGUAAUGUCAAUUCUUGAUAUACGCUUCUUCACAAUGAGAAGUGACCGAUGUACUGUCUGCAGAACCACUUCUGUGCAGUUGCAUUCCAACUGGAUAGUUGACUUGUACUUCUAUCAGAGAACACUAACGGACUAGGUCCAAGUUGUGUUCCUUUUCUGUAAUGGUUGCGAGAUAGUCACUUUCUGUUGUUACGUUCCAACUCUUCAGUUGCUUGUACUUCUGCUAGAGAACCUUACAGGACCAGGUCCCUGUUGUGUUCCUCUUUACAAUGAUUGUAGAUAGUCACUGACUUGUACUUCUGUCGGAGAACCCUAAGGGACCAGGUCACCAGGUCCCUGGUGUGUUUCUUCCUGUAGUCGUUCAUUCAUUUGCUGAUUUUCAAACUUGGACCAGGAUAGUUGAAAUGUGGGUCAGGUUCUCUAUUUGGUUCUUUAUAACAAGUUUGUUAGAUCAUCAAAAUAUAAGAAUCAUAAGACAAAGACAUUGAAAACCCAUCACUCUCUCAUAUGACCAUUCAGCGAGCAAGUUUCAAGUGGCUCUAGAAAAAAGAACAAUGCAACUACGGACCAGUUUCCAUACCGAGUUAUUGUGUAUCCUUAGUUGUAACUUUGUAAUAGCUCUUCAAAUUGGAUUCCUAUCCAGCUUAUUUAGAAGCACUUUAUAGGAACAUCUCUGUAAACCUUAAACAUGCGUGUUUAAGUCUUAACUGGAGUUAGUCAAGUUUUAAAGUCUUUGUAAUAGAGUUAUUGCAAAGUGGCUUGCAAUAGAUGUAUUACAAGUUAGCGAAGGAUUAAGAGUGUAAUUCCUAGAUUGCAUAGGUUGUAAUCUGAAAGUUGCUCAGUACUGAAGUUGAAAUACUUCAAGAGUAGGUCAUGAUUUUUAAUCUCGUUGAGCUGGGAAUUUUCCACAUAAAAUUCCUCAUGUCAUUUAACUUAUGUUCUAUGUGUGUGUGUAACUGUCGACCCUGAUAGAGAACCUGAUUUUCUAUAGAAGUCGGUGGACCCAUAUAUUCUAUCAAUUGGUAUUAGAUGAGGUUCUUUCUAUCAGGUUAACACCUAGAAAGAAUUCUCAUGGCUACUCCUCCAAACUUCGAAAAAGAGUGUACCCUUUUUAAAAAUGGUUAAAAGGGGGGUACGCUCUAGGAGUUGGAAAAUUUGUGCUAGAGGAAAUAAGGUGGAAUAUUUGUCCAGGUUAUUCACAAUAUCAAAGCCUGCGAUUGGUGAGGUAUUGCUUUAGCCAAAAGGACAAAAGUGUACGUAUGUUGUUGUGAUUAAUCCUCCGCAGAGCGGAGACAUAAGUUGGUUGGAAGCUGUUGAAAACAAUACUGAAUCAUGGGAUAAAGGCCUAGAGCAUGUUGUUUAUCUCUAAACAAACUGGAUCUGAAGAACCUGGUUCGUAGUCUGAUCAAGUUGAGGAACAAGUAUCGUGAAGUGUGCACUAUUUAUGCAAAAGAAAACUAUGUCAGAUCUUCAUUCAAGCCAAAAAGAGGCAGACAACACUUCAGAACCAAGGAUGACAUCUUUCAAGAAACUGUGGCUUUUGUCAAGAAGAUCCAGGUACCAAGAAAAACAAAAGUGGCUUUCAUCAGACUAAAUCAUGGAACAGGUUUGGACAAUUCCAUAAGUGGAUGAAUGCUAUGUUGAAGAGAAGAAAAGGACUCUUGAAAAUCUAGGCACGGUUAAUAUUGAUUGAUGAAGGCUUAGCAAAUAUCUUGACCAAAGUUGGUGACUCAAGUGAGGAUAUAUGAGUAUAAUUGUCAUGCUCUCCACAAUGGGAUAGGGUCCGCCUUUAAAAUCUAAUGGUAAAAGAAAUGGAGGAAGCCUCCUGACAUACUCGUCUCAAAAGAAAAACAGAAAUACUGAUCAAGGUAGAGAAUGCCCAUUGAUUCCAGUUAGGAACUAGGUCCCAUGUCUACAACAACAGAAGCUGAAACAAGCUGUUGGAAGGAAGGAUUUUGCAUAGAGACAUCUCUGAACCACUCUUGUAUCUCACUGCAAGUAGACUGGACAUGGGUCAGAAUUGAGUUUUGUGCAGGGUCUUAGUCAAAUCCAAGGUAUUCUCAUCUGAAGGAUGGUGUAAGUAUCUUGAGGUAUCCUAGUAGAACGCAGAACCUGGUUCUCUAUUGUCCUCCAAGUAAAUGGAUAGGAAAAGCUCGCCAGAACUGGAAUAGGGAAGGACAAUCUCUGAGUUCCUAUCUUGUCUCAUAAGGCUCAAGGAAGCAGAAUUCAAUAGCACUCUCAACAGCUGAAACAAAAUAUGUAUGAGCAGCAUUCUACUGUGGUCAAGUACUAUAGACCAAGCAACAAAGUGUUAUGUACCAAACAACAAAUUGAAAUAGCUUGAGUCCAACUCAAGAAGGGCAAAUACAGUGAUUGCUGAAGAUCAAGAUGCAGACAUCUUUACCAAAAGUCCUACGAAGAAAGCAUUCUGAGAAAGAUCACUUUGCACUAGGGAAUGAUGAAACAUAAUUUGGAACCUGGUUCCUCAUUAUUGGUUAUGAAAGUUAUAGUCAGGUAAAAUCUAGCUAAAGUGUUUUCUGGCUAAGUCUAAUUCACCUCUAUAUCAUUACAGGUAAACACACAUGAUGACUACAGAAGCAGAUGCUACAGUACAUGAUGAAUAAGGGGAUAACUCACUUGCCAAACCUAUCGGGGAACCUAGUUCUCUUAACACAGGUUAGUGGUUUCUUUGUUCUUUCAUACAUAAUUUAAAAUGAGUAAAAAAACAACGCCACAUCAUCAUCAACGUGAUAGUUCCUUUAAAGUCUUGGCUUUUCAUCCAAUACGUCACAGCCUAAAUGUCACUCCUUUCUCUAAUCGAUAUAUCUCCUAAGAAAAAAGGGUGUCACCAUUUUAGAACGAGUCCCUAAUCAUAAUCAAACCAACAUCACAACCCUUUCUCUUCCAAAGUCAAAAAUUCCCUAUGUGUCUUCUCUCUUGUCAAAUCAACAUUCUCUCGAGAAAAAUCUCAUCAUGUAUGAAAAUCAAGCAACCUUUAGUAUGCUUGAUAACACUGUGAUUGAGUCCUCACCAGUGAGAAAUUCAUAGGUAAACCUCUCUCCAAACCCUAAAGAAGACUCUCUUCCACACUUCACUCCCAUUCCUAACCUCUCUGUCCACUCCUUCUCUAAGCAAGUCUGAAGAUGUCUGUCCUCCUCCAGUCUCACCAAAAAAAUAGUCAUCAGGGUGAACAAGGGAACCUCGUUCAGGAACCUUCCACUCUAUCCAUGGUUGAGCACUUGAGUGAAUAACCGGUGACUAAUAGUGAAGAGUAUGAGAUCUCCUGGACAGUGAUGAGUCUCAAGGCAUCACUCCUUAGUCUAUUGAAAUAACCAUGGAACCACAAAAAAGGAGGAAAUAGAGAAUACAUUGUUCAUUGCGUCAGAAGGGGUCAUUAUUGAAAAAUAUGCAGAAGGGUCUGAGCCACAAGGGGAAGGAACAGAGGAAGAGGGAGCAAUUGUGCCAUUUGAACAACCGGCAAAAGAUGAUAUUACUGGGGAUUUAAAUGAUGAAACUGAUCCCUCCAUGGAGAAUCCAGGUCAGGAGUCAUCUGAUCCUGCUCCCUCUCCCCACUUUGAUGCUGAGCCCUUAAAUAUGGUGGUGCCUAAGACAAAUCUUGACAGUGAAGAAGAGGCAAAUGAUUUGGUGUAUGCUAGUUUCAUCAAGGCUAGGACUACGCCAGUGGUAGCUUUAGAGCCACCUCCUAAGUGACCUACUACUAGGUUGCAGCAAAAAGAGGAUCUAAAGUUUGCCCUCAAGAAGAGUAAAAAGAGUAAAAGAAGGAGAAGGUUGGUCAAAGAUGGAAAAUUGGUACAAGCAUAGGAUGUUCCUGUAGCGAAUGUGGAUGAGGAGGAACCUAGUUCCAUGUCCUGAAAGUCUUGAAGGAAGAAACACUCUCUUUCUAAAAAGCAUACCUCUAAGGGUGCUGAGAGUUCUUCCAAGAGUGGUGUUGAUGGUUCCAAUUAAAAGGUGGCAAAUAGUUCUAGUGACAAGACAGUGAAGAAGCAUGGAGACAAGUCUGAUGAGGAAGAAAUGGAGAAAUCUGGUGAACAUAGACAGAGCAAGUCAUUGGAAAAGGAAAAGUCUGUUAGCAAAUCAGUGAAAAGAAAGAGGGAUGAUGAUGAAGAGGAUAAGGAACCUGGUUCUGUCAAGAAUGGAAAAGUGAGUGAAACUCUAAGGUCUGAGAAAAGGAAGCUGGGGAAUAAAAAGUGCUGAGGGGCCACACAUUUGCCUCUGACAUUUUAGAGAGUGUUGUGAUGAGACAAUUAGUGGCUAUGUGUGAUGCUCAACAGUGGACCAAUUUGUUUACAAGUGAGGCUCUUAUAGUGUAUGAGGACAAGGUGCAGAGUUCCUACACUAGUCUCUUCACAGUAGAUGGCGAUCAAAUCUGUAUGUUCGUAAAUGGGGUGGACAUAGUGAGGAUUCUACCUUAUUGGGGAAAAUUUUGGGUGAAGGUGUGUCAUCUAAUUAGGGUCCUUGCACACCAAACUUCAUAAAUGCCAUUGUCAAGGACGAGGCAGUACAACAGGGGAACAAGUGCAUAAGAAGGCACUCCUUUCAGUUUAUCAGCUGCUCUUUGAGAUGGUCAACAAAGUCUUGCUUCCCCGCGCUGAAAGAAGGUAUGUUGCAUCCAAAGCUUACCCAUUCCUUAUGGAGACUUUGGAUGAUUUCUCCUCCCAUAAUGAUUGAGCAUAUGUAGAAGGUAAAGAACCUCAAAGACAAGAAUCUUGGACUGCCUUAUGGGUUCCUUCUCACAAAAGUCUUUGAGUUUUUCAAAGUAUCUCUGGGUCAGGCCAAGGUGGGGACCAAAAAGCAACCUUUUUAAAAAACUACUCUAAGGAGUGUGAGUGUAUUGAAAAAGUCAUAGGAGUUGGAAGCACUUCGACAAUCUCCCAAUUAAUAAAUUCGGAAGUUGAAGGCUAGGAACGCGAUUCUUGAGAAUCAGCUUAGUCAGUUGCAAGAGGUACCUGGUUCCAGUUGUUCUCACAGAGCAGAGGUUGCACGCCUAACAAAGGAGAAUGCCGAACUAAGGAAACAGGUGGAGGACCUGAAGGAAAGACUGCUCAAUAAGCAAUUAUCUGCGAAUGCUCGUUCAAGUAUUUUUGUAAGUGGACCGAUAUUCUUCGUAUAGAAUUAUCUCUGCUUGGUCCCAUCUAAGUCUAGAUCCUUCAUUACAGAAGUCAUAUUUCCCCUAUAUUUCCAAAGGACGAGCGUUUUUCUAUCGCACGCUUCAACUAUUUGUUUAUAUAGUGUGUGAAGUCUAACUAAUGAAAAUUGCCGAUGAAUUAGUUUCAAGAAAGCGACUGUUCAUGUCGAGAAUAAAGGUCGGGAGGCAUCUAGCUCAUCCCGAUCACAAGGACAUGUUCACUAUGAUGGGGGUACUUUUUUCCCUUUAAGGAAAAAUGAAAUGCAUAGGGGACUCCUUUUGUUGCGGCAUGCUCCUCAGAUUUACGGAUUCGCAGGGGAUCUCUGGCCCUACUUAGUUUUGCAAGCCUUUAUCAUUGUCAGUCAACUAAGUAAGGACUUUUCCUUUUAGUUUGAAUAACUCAUUCUCAUUAUCUUUAAUAAAUAAAGUAGGCAAACCUACAGGUCCUUAGUAGCAUUGAUAAAGAAGAAGGAGCCGGUUAAAAGAAAGCGAAUCUUUCCACCAGCUGCUGAUGUGGCAUAGUGACAGGUGAGAGCAAUAACAAUAAAAGCAUAGAUCUUGUCCUCUAAACUCUUGCUUCCUCUUCCAAGCCCUCUUCCUCUAGUGUCCCUUAAAGAAUAUCCCCUUGGUGUCCAACUUUUCAGUGUCUAUCCUUUUAAGUUGUUGUUGGUGAUGUUUUGUUAUUUCUGGUAAUUGGUUUUGUUUGUUCUAAACUGUGGAUGUAUAAACAAUGACUCUACUCCCUCCUGUAAUAGUCCAAUUCUGGUUAAUGUAAGUAGUUUCCCUUUUGCUAUCUUUGGUGCUACUCUUUAACUUCUGUCUUUUAUCAUGUUGUGAGCACAUAAGUUGCAUGAGUUACUUCUUUAUGCUGCUAACAUGUUCUAUACUUUUUAUGAUGCCAAAAGGGGGAAGAUGAGGCUUAUUAUUAAUUGAAUGGACUAAACAAAAUACAGAUUGGAAAUAGGGAACUUAAGGUCCUUCUGAUUCACAAUUUGGUUCCUUUGUGGGAACCUCAUUCAGGAGGAACUGGAAACUCACAAAAGUUCAGGUACUGACAAAGGAUGGAUGCAUAGUUUUAGGGGGAACUUAAGGGAGAAGAACUUAAUUCAAUAACAGGGUGAAUACAUAGUUUCAGGGGGAACUUAAGGCUCUUCUAGUUCAAAAUCUGGUUCUUCUGUGGCUCCUUCUAGGAUUUUCAAUUAUGAGUUUGUCAUCAUCAAAAAAGGAGAAAUUGAUAGGUUACAUGUACUUCAAUAAUAAGUACUUUACUUUAUGUUUUGAUGAUCUAACAAACUUACUAUCCAGAACCAGAAUAGGAACAUGUUACACAUUCACAAGAACUUAAGUUCACAAGACUCCAAGUUGGGACUCAACGUGAAAUAUGAUUCAACUCCUCAAAGUGAAAGGAAUAGCUGAGGGACAAUGUCCCUAUCAGUUCCCGAGGAGACUAUAUGAAGUCAACUCAGUAGCUGGAAAGUUGCUGCCUGCACACGUCUUUGUGUCGAACAGUGAUGCAGUCAACUUCCAGAGAAGACUUCUUACCUAUCUUGAUUGCAUCAUUCUUGAUGAGGUCACACAUGUAUAUAUGUAUUCAAGGGAGGUAAAACUAUUUACUUGAAUACUUAGAGAUUUUGGCAAAAAACUCUCUCAUGUGAUCAUUCAAUGAGCAAGUUUCAAGUGCCUCAAGAACAAAGAACAAGGCAACUACGAACCAGUUUCCACAUCGAGUUAUUGUAUGUCUUUAAUUGAGUUGUAACUUUGUAAUAGCUCUUCAAAUUGGAAUUCCUAUCCAGCUUAUUUAGAAACACUUUAUAGGAAUAUUUUUGUAAACCUUAAAUAUGCGUGUUGAAGUCUUGGCUCGAGUUAGUCAAGUUUCAAAGUCUUUGUAAUAGAGUUAUUGCUAAAUGGCUUGUAAAUAGGUGUAUUAUAAGUUAGUGAAGGAUUAAGAGUUUAAUUCCUAGGUUGCAUAGGUUGUAGUCUGAAAGUUGCUCAGUAGUGUAGUUAAUAUCCUACAAGGGUAGGUCGUGAUUUUUAAUCCCAUUGAGCUGAGUAAUUUUCAAAUUCCUCUUGUCAGUUAACUUAUGUUCUAUUGUGUGUGUAACUGUCGAACCUGACAAAGAACCUGAUUCUCUAUAAAAGUUGGUGGACACAUAUAUUCUAUCAGUUUUGAUUUGAAAGUUGAGAAGUCUCAUUUCAUUUUUAUACUACUAUUUUCAAUUUGAUUUAGAAUCUUAGUUCAUUAAUCAAUUCUCAUUUUAACUUUGAUGUGAUACUUCUUUUCUUUUCAAUUAGUAUUUUAAUAAAUAUAUUCUUCCAUCAG
rnacentral:lncRNA from 1 species